AAGGGGAGUGAUGCCCGUGGGACAGACAGAUUCCAAGUGUGCUAAGUUACAAGAAUUACUCCUAGGGAAAGCAGUAAAUGCGAGAAAGAAAGAUGCAGGAAAAUAAAGGUGGUCUUUUGUGCACAGGGGCGAAGACCUUUUUUCAAAAUAUCAUUGACCUAUUUAUAGAAUCGCCCCUGAUUCGGUUAUUACAUGAUCGGCCACUACCUCCUAAAAUCUCGGACCACCUUCAACCGAUCGAACCGCUCGCAACUGCUUGCGGUUGCUGUAACUUCCUAUUGGCGCGACGGUUUUCUUCUUUACUUUUUCGGUGCUCCUGGUGCACGGUCAGAUUAAUGCCUUUGAAAGCGAUUCCCGUCUACCACCUUUCUGCGCCUAAUUGGCUCAACAAAUAUAUUU
rnacentral:lncRNA from 1 species